rnacentral:lncRNA from 1 species
AUGAGUUCUUACCAGCAAAAGCAGCCCUUCGUUGCACCUCCUCAGCCUCAACAGCAUCAAGUGAAGCAACCUUGUCAGCCUCCACCACAAGGAAAAUUUGUUCCCAUAGCCACCUCCGAACCAUGCCACACUGGUGUUCCACAACCAGGAAACACCAAGAUUCCAGAACCAUGCAGCACCAAAGUGCCUGAGCCAGGCUACACUGUUGUUCUUGAGCCAGAUUAUACUACAGUGCCUGGGUCAUGUUCUACCAACGUCACCAAGCCAGAUUAUACCACAAUUCCUGGGCCAUGCUCGACCAACAUCCCUGGGCCAGAUAACGUGGUUCCUGAGUCAUGCUCUACCAACAUCACUGAGCCAAAUUAUACCACGAUUCCCGGGCCAUGCUCUACUAACAUCCCUGGGCCAGAUACCAUGGUUCCUGGGUCAUGCUCUACCAGCACCACUGAGCCAAAUUAUACCACAAUUCAUGGGCCAUGCACUACCAACAUCCCUGACCCUGGCUGUGCCAUGGUUCCUGGGCCAUGCUCUACCAAUAUCUCUGAGCCAAGUUCAGAGCCAUGUUCUACCAAUGUCCGUGAACCUGGCUACCUGAAUGCCUCAGAGCCCACGAAUGCCAAGGUUCCUGAUCAGGGAUACACCAAGAUACCUGACCAGGGAUACUCAAAGGUACCAGAGCCAUGCCAGUCCAGAACUCCUGAGGUGUGCCCCACAACUGUCACCCCAGGAUUAGCUCAGCAGAAGACCAAGCAGAAGUAAUAUAGUCCAUAUCCAGCCAGGCCCUUGAAGAGCUGAUCACCUGCUGCUGAAGUCUUUUCUGUCUGCUUUGGUGUUCCCAUUUUCUGGAGACCAUGUAACAAUAUUUUGCUACAGUUUCUAUUUGUAACUUAAAAAUCGCAUGCUGUUAGGUCUUCUCCAUACCCUCUAAAAUGUAUCCAGAGCCUCUGAGUUAAGCAGACCAUCUUAGUUCCUUGAACACUCUUUGGGUACUGGAAGUUCAUCUGAAGUGGAACUCUAUGGGAUUUUCUGUGGGAAAAAAAUGCAUGUUUGCCCAUUAAAUAAUUACUUUAAACUCC